UGGCGAGCUUUCCUGCCCGGCCUGAAGUUCGAGGUCAUCAGCUCUGCUCACAUCUCCCUGUACACAGAUGAGUCAGCCUUGAAGAUGGACCACGUGGCGCACGUCCCCCAGUCUCCAGCCAGCCACGUAGGGGGUCGUCCGCCGCAGGAGGAGACCAGUGCAGACAUGCUGCGGCCAGAUCCCAGGGAUACCUUUUUCCUCAGUGAGAGGGGGCCCGCGCGGGGGCGAGGGCGGGGGUGCCUGCCCCAGCCACCCUGUGACCGCACCUCCUGCAGCUCCGCGCAUGGAAUCUUCGAGCCUGGAGAACGUGCUGGAGCCCUGCGCCUACGCCCCCACCUACGUGGUCAAGGACUUUCCGAUAGCCAGAUACCAGGGACUGCAAUUUGUGUACCUGUCCUUCGUUUAUCCCAACGACUACAC
rnacentral:sRNA from 1 species